CAACCCUCAAGCUCUGCUUGGUAUUAGGCUUCACCUGCUACAGGCGAGCCUUAAAAUCAGUGGCGGUGCCUUCUGGCUUCAAGCGUAGUAAUACUUCUCGUUUGGGAGCUCCAGUUGUGUACCUGCUAUAAAAACCCCAAUUUUUAAA
rnacentral:misc_RNA from 1 species